ACGGGGGUAGCUCAAUCGGUAGAGCAGCGGUCUCCAAAAUCGCAGGUUGCAGGUUCGAGUCCUGUCCCCCGUGCCA
rnacentral:tRNA from 1 species